CAGGACACCACGUGAGCUGUCGACUAAUUCUUAUCAAGUGAUGGCGACGGCUUCAUUAGGUGGGAAUUAGGCUACUGUGCAAUAGACCAUAAGAGUGCCUUCAGUAUCUCAAUACAAUUGAUCAUAUUUUGACUGUAUCAAAAGGUCCAUCCCGACACGGGCAUCUCCAGUAGGGCAAUGAGCAUCACGAAUUCCUUUGCCUGCAACCUGGUCUUAGAGCAUUACGUUUUAUUCUGUAAAUCCGUGAAUAAUUUAUAGUAGUAUGUAAUGUUACAUUUCGUAUGGUAUGUAUUAAUUUGUGGAUGUUCAUCAUCCAUUUCGUAUCAUAUGUUACAAAUUACGAUUCGUGCAUGUUACGAAUUUGCAAAACGUACAAUAUGGUAUCAAUUAUCAAAAUUAUUAUGUUACGAAUUUCAAUUUAUUGUUGUUAAUAUUAGUUAGGUGGCUAAUGUUAGCUAGCUACCUAACGUUAGCUAGGCUAGGGGUUAGGGUUAAGGUUAGGAAUUAGGUUAAAAGGUCAGGGGAAGGGUUAGCUAAUAUGCUAAGUUGUUGUGAAAUAACUAAAAAGUAGUAAGUAGCUGAAAAGUUGCUAAAGUUGUCCAUGAUGGGAUUCGCACACACAACCUUUGAGUUGCUAGAUGUUGGCGUUGUAACCAUAUAAAGCGUAACAUACAGUAUCAUACUAAUUUGAGUGUUGCAGGUUUACAUUUACUGUUACGUCUAGUGUAUGAUACCAGGCUGUUGUCAAGGACUUAUGCAGGGAUGCACCACUGACUAAUAUUAAGGUUGACUCAUUUCUUUUUGGUAAAUAAAUGCACUAAAUGUAUGUUGUCUCAUUAAUUAAUUAAUUUAUCUUGCUCCUUUCCACCCCAGUAUCUCUACUUGCACAUUCAUCUUCUGCACAUCUAUCACUCCAGUGUUUAAUUGGUAUAUUGUAAUUACUUCGCCACCAUGGCCUAUUUAUUGCCUUAGCUCCUUUAUCUUACCUCAUUUGCACACACUGUAUAUAGACUUUUUCUACUGUAUUAUUGACUGUAUGUUUGUUUAUUCCAUGUGUAACUCUGUGUUGUUGUAUGUGUCGAACUGCUUUGCUUUAUCUUGGCCAGGUCGCAGUUGUAAAUGAGAACUUUUUC
rnacentral:lncRNA from 1 species